AACAAACGCUGGCGGCGUGCCUAAUACAUGCAAGUCGAACGGGGAAAGUAGCAAUACGAGUACUAGUGGCGCACGGGUGAGGAAUACAUGGGUAAUCUGCCCUCGAGCUCGGGAUAACCAGUCGAAAGACUGGCUAAUACCGGAUAUGACCACAAGAUCUGAGGAUCAAGGGGUAAAAGGUUUUUCGCCUGAGGAUGAGCCCAUGUGGGAUUAGCUAGUUGGUGUAGGUAACGGCUCACCAAGGCGACGAUCCCUAACUGGUCUUAGAGGAUGAUCAGUCACACUGGAACUGAGACACGGUCCAGACUCCUACGGGAGGCAGCAGUAGGGAAUAUUGCACAAUGGAGGAAACUCUGAUGCAGCGACGCCGCGUGAGUGAUGAAGGCCUCGGGUCGUAAAGCUCUGUCGUAUGGGACUAACAAAAUAGAAGGUACCAUGCAAGAAAGGAUCGGCUAACUUCGUGCCAGCAGCCGCGGUAAU
rnacentral:rRNA from 1 species